rnacentral:lncRNA from 1 species
GCUCGGGCACGGGAAAUGGCCGGGUAAAACCGGGCUGCCCCGGACUGGGGCUUCACCUAUUUUCAUGGAAUAAGGACUGAUAUGGAGCUAGGAAGCCAUGAAUCCCCCUUGACUAAUGCUGGGAACAAGGCCGCUCUACUCCCAUCUGUCUUCUAAGUCCACUUUAACUCUCUCAUUUUUAUUUGUGAUUUUAUUUGCUGUCAUUGUUAUCUUAAUUCUCAUUUUCCUUGAUUGUUGAUUUAUUUUUAUUUAUUUAUAUUUAUUACUAUUAUUUUUACUGUUGAUCAUUAUUCAUUUCCACUUUUCUUUUUGUUUUCCAGGGGCCAUAGCAGUUCAGUCUUGCUGGGAUGUCUGUGCUAUUAUCAAACUUACUCAAUUUGGUUUAUUGUAAUUAAAAUUAUA